AAACGGAUAGAACCACGAAGUGUAGCUGGAAGGAGAAUUCAGCUCUUUCGCACGGUGUUGCCGGAACAUCAGGCUGUGGGGUAUGCUUUCAUACAGCAUCAAGAUCACCAGUGCCGGGGUAACUCGGUGCUGGCCUUGAGCCCCGCGGUCUACGGUAUGUUCCAGGAUAACUCUAGGCAACAUUCGUGUGGGGAGUGCAUUUUCUCAUCUUCCGAGCUCGAGUCUCGACCAGUGUGGCGGAGUAUUGAGAGAAUACUCGUAUACAGUGGCCAUAGAAAGGUAUGCUAACACCAUACCUGAUCUACACACGGUUUACUCAACACUACUGUGCAUCCUUGCGGUGCACAGACUAGUGUUGAGCCGGGUUAGUCAGCUAUGGCCACAUACACACUGGACAAGAAUCUCUGCGUAUGCAGGGUCAACACAAUGCCCGGUAAGGUGCUCCCGGUAUACCCGAGUAGUGUAUUCGUUAUUGAAUGCUGUUUUUGUACUCAGUGCAAGAACGAUUCAUGGUUACGCUGUCUCUUUGGUGGUGUGCUAGUACAUCUUAUCGUGGUUAAUUGGACUGUUGAUACGAUUCGGAGGCAAGUAGAUCGGUACUCUAUCCGACCCGUCUUGAAACACGGACCAAGGAGUCUAACAUGUAUGCAAGCCGAACAGUCUUGUAUAGGCUCGGUAGGCGAAUUGAAAGAAAUAUAUGGGUAUGAUGCGUUCUCUAUCAAUUCAUUGGACUCGAAAGUGUCCCAAUGUUGAUACGCCGCAAUACCGGCCCGUGGAUUAUCCUCUUUACCGAGAUAACCGCGGAGCUCUAGUAUAUAUGUUAGUACCCGAAAGAUGGUGAACUAUGCCCGGGCAAGAUGAAGCCAGAGGAAACUCUGGUGGAGGUCUGUAGCGAUUCUGACGUGCAAAUCGAUCGUCAGAUCCGGGUAUAGGGGCGAAAGACUAAUCGAACCAUCUAGUAGCUGGUUUCUUCCGAAGUUUCCU
rnacentral:rRNA from 1 species